rnacentral:tRNA from 1 species
AGUAGCUCAGUGGUAGAGUGCUUGUCUUGCAUGCAUGAGGCCCUGGGUUCGAUUCCUCAGUACUG